rnacentral:lncRNA from 10 species
AAAACCGCCAUCGUCAUCAUGGCCCAUUCUCGAUGGUCACUGUCUUUUCGGAGCUGUUGGGUACACCUGCAGAAAGGCUGUCACUUCACACUUGGAAGAUUGCACAGUGGCCAGGCAGAGGCGCUCCUCACUUCCCAGACGGGGCGGCUGGGCAGAGGCGCUCCUCACAUCCCAGACGAUGGAAAAAUCAAUUGAUUUCUCUAUGCCAGAGGGAGCCGGGGAAGGAGGCAGAGGCCUGAGUUACAGAAGACGGUGAAGAAGUGAGGGGAAGGCCUCAGAAACCGGUUUGAAGAGGCUCUUAGACCCCACCGGAGGGGUGGAAGCCAGGCCGGGCACCCGGGAGAGCCACUGGGCAACAUACAGGCAAAGCCUUAAAAAUGCCCAUAUCUGUUGACCUGAGAAGACCACAGAUCUAUCCCAAGGAAGAAUUCGAGAUGGAGAUAAAGAUCUAUGUGUAGGGUCGUUUAUCUCAACAUAAUUUAUGAUGGUGAAAUUUAGAUGGGAAACAUCUAAAUGCCUAACAAUAGGAGAUUUGUAUGUCAAUUGUGGAACAUCAUGUGAUGAACUGUUAGCUGCUAAACCCAAAACCUUCAGAAAAUUAUUCACCUGGGGAAAUGCUUAUAAAAAUAAAGGGAAUAAAAGCAGCAUGUAAAACUGGUUGUAAAGUCCAUUUCUAAUUUUUCAUAGAAAAAAGCCAGAAGGAUGCAUGCAAAAAUACCAACAGAGGUUAUCUCUGGGUGGGGGACUAUAAAGGAUUCUGGUUUUCUUUAUUUUUUUAUGUUUGGAAGUUUUCAUAAUAAACAUCUAUGGUUAAACUAUUA